AGUGGCGAACGGGUGAGUAACACGUGGGGCAACCCUGCCCAAAAGAGGGGGAUAACACUUGGAAACAGGUGCUAAUACCGCAUAACCAUAGUUACCGCAUGGUAACUAUGUAAAAGGUGGCUAUACUACCGCUUUUGGAUGGGCCCGCGGCGCAUUAGCUAGUUGGUAGGGUAAAGGCUUACCAAGGCAAUGAUGCGUAGCCGAAUUGAGAGGUUGAUCGGCCACAUUGGGACUGAGACACGGCCCAAACUCCUACGGGAGGCAGCAG
rnacentral:rRNA from 1 species